GCCCACUGAGUCGCGACCGCAGUGUGAGAGCCGCUGUGUAACUAGAGCCUAUCAGAAGUAAGAACAAGGCCAGUUCAUAAGGGAAUGCACAGAGAGGCUGACGGAAGCUGGCAAGUACAAGAGUCUAUUAAAAGACUGAAGCCUGAACAACUCAUCAACACAGUCUCGACGCUUCCCUCUCGACCACUCCGGGCUGCUUCUUUCCUCUCCAUCUCGGGAAUCAGCAGCAACAGCAGUAAUAACGGAAGCAGCAGCAGCAAUAGCAACAACAACAACAACAACAACAACAACAACAACAACAACAACAACAACACAAUAACCACCACCACCACCAUCAUCACAUCAUCCACUACUACCACCAUCAGCACCAUAACACGAGGAGGAGGAAGCUGAGGAGGUACCGAAUCCCCAAGGCCAUAGCGGGAAUGGAAGGCGAGAGAAGGAGAGGAGAGACGGAGAGACGCAGAGACGGAGAGACGGGCCUCGGAAAUUCAACACUUUGGCGAUGGCUGCUGCUGCUGCUGCUGCUGGUCCUGCAUUCUUGCUCAAUUCUUCCAACUGAGUGGACGCGCCCACCGCCUCCCCCGCCGCCAGCCACCACCACCACCACUACCACGCCAGGGCGACACGCAACGCCUGGUCCUGCACGCCACCAUUAAUUAAUAGUCUUUCCAAGUCGUGGGCGUGGCGGUGUGUGUCAGGUGCGUCAGGCGUGGCGUGGCGUAGCGUGGACCUUGGCGUAGCGGACUGUACAUCGUCACGGGCUUAACGAGGAGUGACUGCAGGUAUUGACUUUCUCUGCUGUUUGGCGGAUCAUUACUAAGUCACUGACCACUCUGAGACAUUUCUUCUUGUUCUCCAGCC